rnacentral:misc_RNA from 1 species
GAAAUGCGAUAAGUAGUGUGAAUUGCAGAAUUCAGUGAAUCAUCGAAUCUUUGAACGCACAUUGCGCCCCUUGGUAUUCCAUGGGGCAUGCCUGUUCGAGCGUCAUUUGUCCCCUCAAGCUCUGCUUGGUGUUGGGUGUUUGUCCCCGUCUCCGCGCGUGGACUCGCCCCAAAGUGAUUGGCAGCCGGCGUACUGGUCCCGGAGCGCAGCACAUGUCGCGCAAACGAGUGCCUUGGUACGGCGGCGUCCAUAAGCCCCUCUCUCACGCUCUUGACCUCGGAUCAGGUAGGGAUACCCGCUGAACUUACGC